UGGGGGAUAUUGCACAAUGGGCGAAAGCCUGAUGCAGCGACGCCGCGUGGGGGAUGAAGGCUUUCGGGUUGUAAACCUCUUUCGCUAUCGAACAAGGCCCGCUUAGGGUGGGUUGAGGGUAGGUGGAGAAGAAGCGCCGGCUAACUACGUGCCAGCAGCCGCGGUAAUACGUAGGGCGCGAGCGUUGUCCGGAAUUAUUGGGCGUAAAGGGCUUGUAGGCGGCUUGUUGCGCCUGCUGUGAAAACGCGGGGCUUAACUUCGCGCGUGCAGUGGGUACGGGCAGGCUUGAGUGUGGUAGGGGUGACUGGAAUUCCAGGUGUAGCGGUGGAAUGCGGAGAUAUCUGGAGGAACACCGAUGGCGAAGGCAGGUCACUGGGCCAUUACUGACGCUGAGGAGCGAAAGCAGGGGUAGCGAACAGG
rnacentral:rRNA from 1 species